rnacentral:rRNA from 1 species
UACGUAGGGUGCAAGCGUUGUCCGGAAUUAUUGGGCGUAAAGAGCUCGUAGGCGGUUUGUCGCGUCUGCUGUGAAAACUCGGGGCUUAACCCUGGGCUUGCAGUGGAUACGGGCAGACUAGAGGUAGGUAGGGGAGAAUGGAAUUCCUGGUGUAGCGGUGAAAUGCGCAGAUAUCAGGAGGAACACCGGUGGCGAAGGCGGUUCUCUGGGCCUUACCUGACACUGAGGAGCGAAAGCGUGGGGAGCGAACAGG